rnacentral:lncRNA from 1 species
ACGACUCGUGUCUGAAGUGUCUAGGAGAGUCCCACCAGACAGAUAAGUGCAAGAUCUGUAAGGCUUUCAGACCGAGGACCAAAAAGGAGCAGGACUUUAGGCUUAGGCAGCUCCUCAUGGAGGCGGCACUUAGCCCAGAUCCUCCCUCGGCGCGCCAAGUUCCGGCACCGAGCGCCUCGGUGCGCAGCGCCCCUGCGUCACCGACCGGUACUACACCGCGAGCAGAUGCGGAUAAGGCCUCACGGCACCGGCCUUCUUCGGCACCGCAGCCACCACAAGGGCCCCGGCGCCGUUCCCUGUCUCCGGGGCAUAAGAAAUCCCGCAAGACGCAGGGGAUUGCUGUCCUGCAGACGCCGGCUCCCCCGGUACCAGUGGUAGAGCCACGUCCGACUUUAGGGCGCCAGAAGUCGCAGAUAUCGGCUACACCAUUGACUCCGGCACCGGGGCCGUUGAGUCUGGUGCGGACUGGCUCACCACCUCGAUCAGUGGUGGAGCCCUGUCUCCCGUCGACUCCGGAGACCUUUGCGACGGUAAAAGACCUUAUCGCGCUCACGGAGCCGGCGCAAUCUCAACCCACGGCACCGCCCGCUCCUCGCACAGUGCAAUCCGGGGCAAGCCUGCCCUGGUACGCCCGCCGUCUCCGAGCGUGGACUCGCGGCACCGCUCCAGGUCUCGGAGCAGGUCCCGACACCGCUCGCAGUCCCGGCGCCGACUUUCACCUCGGCACCGGUCAUACUCGCGGCCUAGGUCCUCUUCACGGCACCGAUCUACAUCUCGGCACCAUCAGGAUCAUCGGUACCGAUCAGAGUCACGACGUAGUUCUUGGCACUGGUACGAGCGCCGCUCCAGUUCGAGGGGCCGCUCCCGGUACCACGUCUACAGGCGGUCGUCCUCGUCUCGGUCCAGAUCUGGGUCUCGGCACCGACAGGUCCAGCAGUACCGAUCCCGAUCAUGGUACCGCUCACUGGCACCGCGCAGGGACCGAUCGCCUACGGACCGGAACCGAUCGGCACCGUGUCACACCGAGCCCAUUCAGCCGCGUUCGGCACCGCCUUGGCCUUCAAGAUCAGCGUCUCGCUCCUCCGAUGGGGCUUCGCGAUCAGCAUACCCUCCUCAGGGUCAGGCUGCCGCUGACUUGGGUUACUGGCAGGAGGCGACAGAGGACCCUGCGCAGGACCCUACGCAUUGGUCUUUCUGGACCCUGUGGGCGUAUCACCAGGUGCAAGGGGCUCCACCAUCAGCCUCUCGCUCGGCACGCUCUGAACCCAGAGUCCCGGAGGCCAUCAUCUCCCGCCCCCCCUGCAGGGGGCAUGGAGGCUCCCGUGUCUACACCACCUCAGGCCAUGGACCCCGGGGCAGGGGAUUCUCCGCUUCAGGGACCCUUAGAACAGGACCCCCCCUUUAGACCCCUUGCCCCCGGAGGCAUCCUCCUCAUCUUCCCCGGAUGAGGCGGUGGCGGGCACAACAGCCUCGGGCCCGCCCCCAAUAGAUCUUCGUGCCCACCAGGACCUAUUACGUAGG